rnacentral:rRNA from 1 species
UACGUAGGGUGCAAGCGUUAAUCGGAAUUACUGGGCGUAAAGCGUGCGCAGGCGGUUUUGUAAGUUUGUCGUGAAAUCCCCGGGCUCAACCUGGGAAUUGCGAUGAAGACUGCAAGGCUAGAAUCUGGCAGAGGGGGGUAGAAUUCCACGUGUAGCAGUGAAAUGCGUAGAGAUGUGGAGGAACACCGAUGGCGAAGGCAGCCCCCUGGGUCAAGAUUGACGCUCAUGCACGAAAGGCGUGG